UACGGAGGAUGCGAGCGUUAUCCGGAUUUAUUGGGUUUAAAGGGUGCGUAGGCGGACUGUUAAGUCAGCGGUAAAAGCCCGGGGCCCAACCCCGGGACUGCCCUUGGAACUGCAUGGCUGGAGUGCGGGAGGGGCAGGCGGAAUUCCUGGUGUAGCGGUGAAAUGCGUAGAUAUCAGGAGGAACACCGGCGGCGAAGGCGGCCUGCUGGACCGCGACUGACGUUGAGGCUCGAAAGCGUGGGGAGCGAACAGG
rnacentral:rRNA from 1 species